rnacentral:rRNA from 1 species
UGCCCCUACGGGGCGCAGCAGUGGGGGAUAUUGCACAAUGGGGGAAACCCUGAUGCAGCGACGCCGCGUGAGUGAAGAAGUAUUUCGGUACGUAAAGUUCUAUCAGCAGGGAAGAAUAAUGACGGUACCUGACUAAGAAGCCCCGGCUAACUACGUGCCAGCAGCCGCGGUAAUACGUAGGGGGCAAGCGUUAUCCGGAUUUACUGGGUGUAAAGGGAGCGUAGACGGCGAUGCAAGCCAGAUGUGAAAGCCCGGGGCUCAACCCCGGGACUGCAUUUGGAACUGUAUAGCUAGAGUGUCGGAGG